rnacentral:lncRNA from 1 species
GACGUUCCUAGCAUCCUCAGAGAGGGCCAAAGCAAUAGGGAGAGGGGGAUUGAAGGUCCAGCCUUGGAGCAGGGAAUUUUGCAAACAUGCCUUUGCCGUGAGAUGUGCUACCUUGUUAUUGUUCCUUCUCGUCCAGACAAAGCUACAAGUAAGGAAGGUAAACUGCAGCUUCUUAAUGUCUUCAAGGAUAGCCUUGGAUUCACCUAUUUGUUGCCCACCAUUGCAGGCAUCUAUUAGCUUCAGACAAUCAGAUUCCAGAAUAAUUCUAUUCCAUCCCAAGUUAUGAGCUAUGACAAUCCCCUCCCUUAAAGGAAGUGCCUCAAUAAUGAGAGGAGAGGGACUCCUGAGCUUACGACAGUCUCCAGCCACCA